AAAUAGAUACCCCUGGUAGUCCACGCCGUAAACGAUGAGUGCUAAGUGUUAGAGGGUUUCCGCCCUUUAGUGCUGCAGCAAACGCAUUAAAGCACUCCGCCUGGGGAGUACGGUCGCAAGACUGAAACUCGAAGGAAUUGACGGGGGCCCGCACAAGCAGUGGAGCAUGUGGUUUAAUUCGAAGCAACGCGAAGAACCUUACCAGGUCUUGACAUCCUUAUGCCUGCUCUGGAGACAGAGUUUUCCCUUCGGGGACAUAAGUGACAGGUGGUGCAUGGUUGUCGUCAGCUCGUGUCGUGAGAUGUUGGGUUAAGUCCCGCAACGAGCGCAACCCUUGAUCUUAGUUGCCAGCAUUCAGUUGGGCACUCUAAGGUGACUGCCGGUGACAAACCGGAGGAAGGUGGGGAUGACGUCAAAUCAUCAUGCCCCUUAUGACCUGGGCUACACACGUGCUACAAUGGAUGGUACAAAGGGCAGCAAAACCGCGAGGUUGAGCCAAUCCCAUAAAACCAUUCUCAGUUCGGAUU
rnacentral:rRNA from 1 species